rnacentral:antisense_RNA from 1 species
UGCAAGCCUCUGCCUACUUUCCUGCGCGCCGUUCCCUGCCAGUUCCUGUUGCCGGGUUUAUCUUCUCACGGCCUCGAGAUGGUGGUGAACGUGGCACGGAGGAGCCGGGCCUUCCCACCCUGUGGGCCCGAGCUCCGGAAGGCCCCCUCGGCAGUGAGAGGGGCGGGAGCCCGCGGGGGCCGCGCCCUUCUCUCGCUUCGGCCUGCGCAACGCUGCGCUCUGGGCUGACAGGCGGAUAAAACGGUCCCAUCAAGAUUGAGAAAAAGCACACCAAAUGUUGGUACAGCGUGGGCAGUGGGGCCUACAGGAUGACUUAGUCUACAGAGAUCCCGGCGUACUUAAGCAGAUGAAGACUCUUAAGAUGACAGAAGGUGAAUUUUUCUGGUGAUCGAGGACUCCUGGGGUCAUGAGAGUGAUGAAAUGCAGGGGACCUGGUGGCCCCCAAGUUUCCUGGCAGUGUGUGAUACUGAGGUGAGCUUGUUUCUGGAGCUGUGCUUUAAGAUUCAUGUGUUACAUGUAAAGCUGUCCUCAGUUGUGACUAUGGACCUAUGGAGUUGGGACAAUCUCUAUGGGAAGCAGAAGGCAAGACCCCGGUCAUUUUAGGUAGAAACAACAGCAUGCUAAUGCAAAAAAUUAUGCAAUGUGCUACUGAACUUCAGAGGUGAUCAAUAAAAGAAUAAAGACUAGUAAAAGUA